UUUCAAAAUACACAAGUU
rnacentral:snRNA from 1 species